rnacentral:ncRNA from 1 species
AUGGAAUAAUAUAGAUAAGGGAAGUUAGUAAAAUAGAUCCGUAACUUUGGGAUAAGGAUUAGCUCUAAGAGUUAGGUACGUUAGGCUUUAGGCGGACGCCUUAGGAGUAGGUCGCCUCUAGCUAGGCAACUAGUAGGGGGCUUCUAGUAUCUAGGUAUAGAUGCCCUUAGUAGGCUUCGGCCGUUUGGUAUAUAGUUAAUAACUAACUUAGAACUAGUAUAGAUAGGGGGAAUCUAACUAUCUAAUUAAAAUAUAGUAUUAUAAUAGCUAGAAAGUGGUAUUAAUAUAAUAUAAUUUCUACCUAGUGCUUUAAAUAUCAAAGUAAAGAAAUUCAACUAAGUGUAGGUAAACGGUAGAAGUAACUAUAACUCUCUUAAGGUAGCUAAAUACCUUGUCAUCUAAUUAGUAACGUAUAUAAAUAGAUUAAUAAGAUUCUUACUAUUCCUAUCUACUAUCUAGUAAAACUAUAGCUAAGGGAACAGGCUUAGCAAAAUUAGUAGGGAAAGAAGACCCUAUUAAGCUUGACUCUAGUUUGAUAUUAUAAAAAGAUAUAGGAGGUAUAGAAUAGGUAGGAGCUUUGGUACUAGUAAAAUACUACUACUCCUAUUAUUUUUUUACUUAUUUAAUAAAGUAGGGCUAGAUUUCUAUCUAACUUCUGGUUUUAAGGUCCUUUACAGGCUGACCUAGGUUAAAGACAUUAUUAGGUAGGGAGUUUAGCUAGGGCGGUAUAUCUAUUAAACUAUAACGUAGGUAUCCUAAGGGGGGCUUAUAGAGAAUAGAAAUCUCUAAUGGAAUAAAAGGGUAAAAGUCCCCUUAAUUUUGAUUUUUAGUGUAAAUAUAAACUAUAAAAGUAUAGCCUAUCGAUCCUUUAGUCCCUUGAAAUUUAAGGUUAGAGGUGCUAGAAAAGUUACUAUAGGGAUAACUAGCUUAUAGCGGCUAAACGUUUAUAGUAACGUCGCUUUUUAAUCCUUUGAUAUUAGCUCUUCCUAUUAUACUAAAGCAGAAUUCGGUAAGCGUUAGAUUGUUUACCUACUAAUAGAGAAUAUAAGCUAGGUUUAGACUAUCGUAAGAUAGGUUAGUUUUACCUUACUAAUGAACUUAUCGUAAUGGUAAUUUAGCUUAAUACGAGAGGAACUACUAAUUUAGAUAAUUAGUUUUUACGGUUAUCCGACUAGGCAGUGCUAUAAAGCUACCAUCUGCUAGAUAAUAGCUAAACGCCUCUAAGUCAGAAUCUAUACCAGAAUACGAUAAUACUACCUAUACGUUAUAGACGUAUAAGAAUAGGCUCCGGCCUCGUAUCCUAGUAAGCGAUUCCUCUACUAGCCUUGAAGUUGGCCGGCGGUAAUUCGCGUAUUACAAUUUCGAUACGUGUAGGAUCAAAUCCUUUACAGACGACUUAGAUAUAAAAAAGGGUUCUAUAAGUAGUAGAGUAGCCUUGUUAUUACGAUCUGCUAAAGGUAAGCCUUCCUUUGCCUAGAUUU